rnacentral:rRNA from 1 species
GCUUACGGCCAUACCACCCUGAAUACGCCCGAUCUCGUCUGAUCUCGGAAGCUAAGCAGGGUCGGGCCCGGUUAGUACUUGGAUGGGAGACCGCCUGGGAAUACCGGGUGCUGUAAGCU